ACGAACGCUGGCGGCGCGCCUAAUACAUGCAAGUCGAGCGAGAAGACGUAGCAAUACGUUUGUAAAGCGGCGAACGGGUGAGGAAUACAUGGGUAACCUACCCUCGAGUGGGGAAUAACUAGCCGAAAGGUUAGCUAAUACCGCGUACGCUCCUUGGACUUCGGUUCAGGGAGGAAAGCGAUACCGUGGGUAUCGCGCUCUUGGAUGGGCUCAUGUCCUAUCAGCUUGUUGGUGAGGUAACGGCUCACCAAGGCUUCGACGGUAGCUGGUCUGAGAGGACAAUCAGCCACACUGGCACUGCGACACGGGCCAGACUCCUACGGGAGGCAGCA
rnacentral:rRNA from 1 species